rnacentral:rRNA from 1 species
UUGUCCUACGGGAGGCAGCAGUGGGGAAUAUUGCACAAUGGGCGAAAGCCUGAUGCAGCGACGCCGCGUGAAGGAAGAAGGGUUUCGGCUCGUAAACUUCUAUCAACAGGGACGAAAGAAAUGACGGUACCUGAAUAAGAAGCCCCGGCUAACUACGUGCCAGCAGCCGCGGUAAUACGUAGGGGGCAAGCGUUAUCCGGAAUUACUGGGUGUAAGGGGGGAGUAGGCGGCAUGGUAAGCCAGAUGUGAAAGCCUUGGGCUUAACCCGAGGAUGGCAUUUGGGACUAUCAAGCUAGAGUACAGGA